AUGCAGUCGAGCGAUGGAUUAAGAGCUUGCUCUUAUGAAGUUAGCGGCGGACGGGUGAGUAACACGUGGGUAACCUGCCCAUAAGACUGGGAUAACUCCGGGAAACCGGGGCUAAUACCGGAUAACAUUUUGAACUGCAUGGUUCGAAAUUGAAAGGCGGCUUCGGCUGUCACUUAUGGAUGGACCCGCGUCGCAUUAGCUAGUUGGUGAGGUAACGGCUCACCAAGGCAACGAUGCGUAGCCGACCUGAGAGGGUGAUCGGCCACACUGGGACUGAGACACGGCCCAGACUCCUACGGGAGGCAGCAGUAGGGAAUCUUCCGCAAUGGACGAAAGUCUGACGGAGCAACGCCGCGUGAGUGAUGAAGGCUUUCGGGUCGUAAAACUCUGUUGUUAGGGAAGAACAAGUGCUAGUUGAAUAAGCUGGCACCUUGACGGUACCUAACCAGAAAGCCACGGCUAACUACGUGCCAGCAGCCGCGGUAAUACGUAGGUGGCAAGCGUUAUCCGGAAUUAUUGGGCGUAAAGCGCGCGCAGGUGGUUUCUUAAGUCUGAUGUGAAAGCCCACGGCUCAACCGUGGAGGGUCAUUGGAACUGGGAGACUUGAGUGCAGAAGAGGAAAGUGGAAUUCCAUGUGUAGCGGUGAAAUGCGUAGAGAUAUGGAGGAACACCAGUGGCGAAGGCGACUUUCUGGUCUGUAACUGACACUGAGGCGCG
rnacentral:rRNA from 2 species